UUAAAGUAACUAUCUAUUGGGUAAAAACUGAAAGCACGGAAAUCACUCCCCCAUUUUAUGCGGCCUCUCCUCUACAAACCUCUCUAUCUCUCUCUCUUUCUCUCUCAUUUACAGAUUUUGAAGCAUCAAACCUCCCUCUACCUCCGCCGAUACAGCCGCCGCCACCGCACCUCCUUUCUUCCUCCUCCCUAAACCGUCGGAGGCCCAGCAAGAUCGUCGGGCCGUCACGAUUUUCACCAUCAAAAACCUCAUCUCCCUCUCUAUUUCAACGGCGAGCGGCGAGAAUCCACGCCGCCCCCUUCUCCAUCAAAAACCUCAUCUCCCUUCUCUAUGUUUAAGCGUUUCCAAUUGGGGUUAUCUGGAGAGAUUGGAGUUAGUUUUGUUAACUGAGGAAUGUGUGUAAUUUUGUGUUUGGGAUCUUGUUGCUUGGAUAUUCUUGAUUGUUGUGGCUGCUGGGUUUUGCUUGAUUAAAAAGAAAAAUGGGGGAUUAUUUAUGUUCGAUCUUUAGCUUCCAUACUGGUUUUGUGACUCGACGCAAGAACUCAUUGGAGGCCAGCGCAACCGUGGAGAUCCGGCGUCUCAUCUCCAAAGAGAUCUCUCAUAGUCGGAUUCUUCAUCUGGGAAUUAAAUCUCUUUGCAGUCUCUGUCUAAUCUGCACUUUUAUUUUUCUUUUCGUCAAAAUAAAUGAUCAAUUUUGGAAUUUGGGGGAUAUUCACGUGUCCAUUCAAUAUGAAUAUAUCUGUUC